rnacentral:lncRNA from 10 species
CUCAAAAAGAGCAGGAAGGGAAACAUCUGUGAGAAGAAACACACCAAGCGGGGAAUCUUUCUGGAACAAGGAUGCAGCAACACAGAAAUUAGCCUGAUCCUGUUGCCUUAAGCUGCAUUCAUGUAGUAAUCCAGGAAAUGCAGUCUCUUUUUUCUGUGAUUGGCCAGACAAAUCCUCCUUCUGAAGAAACUUAGAUUUCAGCCUCCCCGAACCAAAAGAAAAAAAAGAAUUGGGCAAAAACAUCAUAGUGGAGCAUCUAUCAACAAAAUAUGUGCACGGAGAGGUUUCAAAAUCAUCUUGAAGACUCACAAGAAUUGUCUUUCCAAAAGCAGUAAGGAGUAGAAGUGUACAACUGAUUCAACUAAGGACAGGGCCAUCAGCUCUGGAUGCCAAAAUCUUCACCACUCACAGACCAGCAAGGGCAGGUCUUCCCACUCGGCAUCCCUAGAUCCUGAAUAUGGCCCAGAGGUCUUUAGCUUCCCGUUGCAGCUUUUUGGAAGCCGGACUCUCUCCUCUGGCUGUCCCUGAUCCUCCUCUGUGCUGGUGCUGUGGCACUUAGCCCACCAGAAGUGAUACCCACCUGCCGUCCUCACUAGCUUUUCAGGUCCUUAAGAGCUAAGGCUGUCUGAUUCAUCCCAGUAUCUCCAGGGCUUAGCAUGGUAUCCAGCACAGAGUAGCUGCUCAGCAAAUGCUUGUGGAGUUAAAUAAAUUGAAUGAAUAAUACUGAGUAAGACUACUUGCAUAUCUCUUUAGCACUGACAACUCAUAGUCCAAAGCUGCACCCUACAACCGCCUUGUCUCUGCUUGUGUGACUUUGGUGAUGGGGAACACUCCACUUGAGAACAAACAACCCAUUCUAUUGUUGUCUAGCAUUGGCCAUUAUUUAUUGUAAUAAUAACAAUAACAAUAGCAAACACUUAUAUGGUACUUACUAUAAUACUAGGCAGUUUUUAAGCAUAUUCACCAGUCUCAGUUUAGAGAUGAGACGACUAAAGCACAGAGAUGCUAAGCAACUUGUUCAAGAUCAUACAGCUAAUAAGUGACAGAGCUGGGUUCAGGCAGGCACAGCCCAGCCCCAGCAUUAAUAGUCUCAACCACCAAAUUAUAAGUCUCUAAACUGGAACAAGUCUCCCUCUUACCCUCUUACUUCCUCCACCAGAGAUUGUCCUGCAUGGGUUAGCACAGAGCUGGAAUCAGACCAGGUUCUUGCCAGUACCCUACGUGGCUAACCAGGUGGCUUGAAACAGAGAGGGCAUCUCUGCCUCAAGCUUAGUCUUGGAGUUAUUGUUGCCCAUCAUGGGUAGAGCCAAGGGAGGAUGAAUAUGGUCCAGGGUUCACCCAUUAUGUAGAUGAACUCUGGUCAUAAUGGGGUUAUGGUCUUGUGGUUUCCUCCUCUCUUACCCCAAAUGGGAGUUUUCCUUUCAAUUAUCUUUAUAACAAGUGUGGUUGCAGCUUCAAACCACAAACCACUAAUAUUUUUAUUGGCAAGUGCAUCCUCUAAUACGUAUAGUUCUGUUGAAUGGGUGAAAUAUUUAUCACCAGAUGCAUUUGUUUUUGUAGUGUUUAUAAUGCUUGGAAAGGGGCUGAGUGUCUCUGGCCUUAAUCCCUUCUUUGGCUCUACUGCCACUGUCCUGGUUUAGCUCCCCCCAAAUUUUACCUGUAUAGCCUCUGAACUGGUCUCCCAGACUCCAGGCUGACCCCUCUAAUCCAUCUUCCACAUUGGCUUACAGCUCCAUCUUUCUAAAGUACAGCUUUUGCCAUGCCAUUCCUUUGCUCAAAAAUCAUUUAUUGACUCCCAGUUGCAGCUAAUUGUAAGUUCCCAUCACCUGGUUCCUGUAGCCCUUCAGGAACUUUCCUUCCAUAAACCUUUAUCAUGAACCUUAUACAUUAGCCACACUGGACAAGUUUGCAUUUUCUAGGCCUGUCCUGUGCCCUUCUGUUUCCAUGCUUUGCUCAUGCUGUUUUCUUUCCCUGUAAAUCUUUUGUUUAUACAUUCACUCAUUCUUUCAUUCGUAUAUUCAUGCAUUCCACAAAGUUUACUAUGCACCUUCUUCAAGCCAGGUCCUAUGCUGGGAACCAGUAAUGAAUUAGUCAUGGUCCUCCUCUCAAGGAGCUUAAAGUCUAAUCUAGACUCCUUCUGGUCAUGUCCAUGACCACCUGUCACAAUCUUAUCGGAAAGGAUACAAUUUCCCUCUCCUCAAAGCCUUUUUCCAAUGUUUCAGCUGGAAGUAAUCUUUUCCCCCCUCUGAGGCUUAUCCCUGGCCCCUCAUCCCCAUCUUCUAAGGACCCCCAUUUUCCAACCUUGCAUCUUGUAUUAUAAUGAUGCUGAUGCUUAUUUCCCCUGGAUGAUACAAGAUGUGCCUGGCUUCUUGAGGCAGAAUUCCUUUGCAUCCAGGGACCAGCAGAGGAGCUGGCCCACAGUGGACUCAUAUCCAGCCAAUGCUGCUGAUUGACACUUCAUCCACCACUGGUGAGAACACAAUUAGAGAGAUUACACAGAGCACUCAUAAAAGGUAGUGUCUCCCAGCUUUGUUGAGAUAUAAUUCACAUACCAUACAAAUUACCCAUUUAAAGUGUACAAUUCAAUUAUUUUCAGUAUAUUCACAGAGUUGUGCAACCAUCGCCUCAAUCAAUUUUAGAACAUGUUCAUCACCCCAGAAACAAACCUCAUACCCAUUAGCAGUCAAACCCCCAUUUCCCCUCAAGCCUCCUCAGCCCUGGGCAACCAUUAAUCUGUUUUCUUUCUCUAUAGACAGAAAUUGGACUAUUCUGGACUUUUCACAUAAAUAGAAUCAUGCAAUACAUGGCCUUUUGUGUCUGGCUUCUUUCACUUAGCGUAAUGUUUUCAGGGUUCUUAUGUAUUGCAUGAUAUUUUGGUUUUUUAUUGACAAGCCACAUUCCAUUAUAUGGAUGUACCAUAUUUUAUUUAUCCAUUCCUCCACUGAUGGACACUGGGUUGUUUUUACUUUUUGGUUAUUAUGAGUAAUGCUGCUGUGAACAUCCGUGUAAAAGUUUUUAUGUGGAUGCAUAUGAUCAUUUUAAUCAGAUAUAGAAUUUGGAGUGGAAUUGCUGGGGAAUAUUUAACUCCAUAACAUUCUGAGGAACUGCCAGACUGUUUUCUAAAGUAUCUGCACUAUUUUACAUUCCCACCAGCAGUAUAUGAGGGUUCCAAUUUCUCCAGAUUUUUGCCAACACCUAUCUUUUUGUUUAUAGCCAUUCUGUUGGGUGAGAAGUGGUAUCUCAUGGUGGUUUCAAUUUGCAUUUCCCUAAUGAUGAAUGAUGUUGAGCAUCUUUUGAGGUGUAUAUUGACCAUCGGUAUAUCUUAUUUAGAGAAUUAUGUGUUCAAAUCCUUUGUCCAUUUUAAAAUUGAUUCAUUUGCCUUUUAUUAUUGAAUUGUAAGUGUUCUUUAUAUAUUCUAUAUAUCACAGGCUUUUUAAUUUUUUUCUUUAUGCUUUCUCUAUUUUCUAAAUUUUCUACAAUGACUAUGAGGUACCUUGAUGAGCAGAAUGCAUAACCAGUAUGUACCAACAUAUAUAAAAAUGUAGAAACUGUCCUCAUCAAAUUUAUGAAUGACAUAGAACUGGAAAAGAUGACUAAUGUGUCUUUUGACAAAAUCAAGAUCCAUUCUUGGAGGAAUGGAGCAAUGAGUGAAAUAUAAAUUCCUCACUUCAGUUAAAAAAUUCUGUAAGGGUGUGAUAUGGUUUGGCUGUGUCCCCAUCCAAAUCUCAUCUUGAACUGUAGUUCCCAUAAUCCCCAGGCAUCAUGGGAGGAACCAGUGGGAGGUAAUUGAAUCAUGGGGACAGGUUUUACCUGGCUGUUCUUGUGCUAGUGCAUACGUCUCAUGAGAUCCGAUGGUUUUAUAAAGGGCAGUUCCCCUACACAUGCUCUCUUGCCUACCGCCAUGUAAGAGGUGCCAAUGCUCCUCUUUCACCUUCUGUCAUGACUGUGAGGCCUCCCAGCCAUGUGAAACUGUGAGUCCAUUGAACCUCUUUAAUUUUUAUAAAUUACCCAGGCUCAGGUAUUUCUUUAUAGCAAUAUGAGAAUGGAGUAAUACAGGGUAUAUGAGGAAAGGGUCUCUUUCUGCAUGUGUGGGAAGCGGCCUUAGAUGACCUCAGGACAAUGUUCAACCUUCAGUGUCUAUGAUUUUCAUGUUAGGUAGGGGUAGAUCACUAUUGAGAAGGGCUCAUAAAAUAAUCUGAUGGCCUUGGUGUCCUACAAGCUAAGUGGAAACCAACAGUGUGACAUGGCUUCUGAAAAGAGAUGGUGUGACCUGAGGUGACAAGAACAAAAGCAGGGCCUGAACUGAGGGAGGUGUUUGUCCCGCUGUUUGGGGCUGCUUAAACCACAUCUGGAGCUUGUGUUCAGAUCUAGACACCACCAGGGAAUCAGAGAGCCAUCUAUGUGGCCAGGACGGGGAGGGAAGAGUUAAGAAACCCUAUCACAGGAAGAAAGUGCAGAUUCAUGACCAGGCACUGCAUCUCCAAAGGGCUCCUCUAGGGCAGAGGGCAUAGAUAUGGUCUGCCAGGACUUUAUGCUCUCACUUACCUGGACAUUCACAGUGGUCUGCCUGGGCAGGAUUUCUUCUCCCUUCAGACCAUGAGACCCAGGACUGCUCCACGUCCCCCAUCUCUCAGAAGCUAAAGACGGAAGCAGCAACAGGGUGAGAAUCUGACCUGAGGUCCACACUGCAGAGAUAAGAAGGUGCCAAAGACUCUACUGGCUAGCAAACUCAGGAUGCUGUGGAGUCCAAGCUGGUAAUAAAAGCAAGUCAGGUGUUUGCCUUUAAAAUGUAUAGAAAUGUCUUUAUUUACACAAACAAAUACAUUGUACUCAAUUUUUCUUUUUCCUCCUGUUAAAAUUUCUCUUUUCCUUUGAAAAAAACUUCAGGCCAGGCACGGUGACUCAUGCCUGUAAUUCCAGCAUUUUGGGACGCUGAGGUGGUAGGAUCCCUUGAGCCCAGGAGUUCAAGACCAGCCUGGGCAACACAGGGAGACCCUGCCUCUGGAAAAAAAUAGUGUAAAAAUUAGCCAGGUGUGGUGGUGUGUGCCUGUAGUCCCAGCUACUCUUAUUUGUUUUUACAAUAAGAAAAACAACAGCACAUGUGUGAGGCGAAGUAACCUCUGCUGGUCAUCCUCAGUGCUGGGGGACAACGCAGAGGGGAGGGGCAGCAGUGACCGGCUGCAGCAGGCCCAGUGAGGCCGUCUCCCACUUUGUUAAAGAGG